CAACAACAGACUCGGUGAAAUUGUAAUUCCGGUGAAGAUGCCGGAUACCUGCGACAGGACGGAAAGACCCCAUGGAGCUUUACUGUAGCUUGACAUUGGGUCUUGGUACUACAUGUACAGGAUAGGUGGGAGGCUUUGAAACCAGGACGCCAGUUUUGGCGGAGCCAUCCUUGGGAUACCACCCUUGUAGUACUGGGACUCUAACCAUAGGCCAUGAAUCUGGUCUUGGGACACUGUCAGGUGGGCAGUUUGACUGGGGCGGUCGCCUCCCAAAG
rnacentral:rRNA from 1 species